rnacentral:rRNA from 1 species
UGAGGAAUAUUGGACAAUGGGUGCGAGCCUGAUCCAGCCAUCCCGCGUGAAGGACGACUGCCCUAUGGGUUGUAAACUUCUUUUGUAUAGGGAUAAACCUACCCUCGUGAGGGUAGCUGAAGGUACUAUACGAAUAAGCACCGGCUAACUCCGUGCCAGCAGCCGCGGUAAUACGGAGGGUGCAAGCGUUAUCCGGAUUUAUUGGGUUUAAAGGGUCCGUAGGCGGAUCUGUAAGUCAGUGGUGAAAUCUCACAGCUUAACUGUGAAACUGCCAUUGAUACUGCAGGUCUUGAGUGUUGUUGAAGUAGCUGGAAUAAGUAGUGUAGCGGUGAAAUGCAUAGAUAUUACUUAGAACACCAAUUGCGAAGGCAGGUUAAUAAGCAACAACUGACGCUGAGGCACGAAAGCGUGGGGAUCAAACA